rnacentral:rRNA from 1 species
AAAUUGAAGAGUUUGAUCAUGGCUCAGAUUGAACGCUGGCGGCAGGCCUAACACAUGCAAGUCGAGCGGAAACGAGUUAUCUGAACCUUCGGGGAACGAUAACGGCGUCGAGCGGCGGACGGGUGAGUAAUGCCUAGGAAAUUGCCCUGAUGUGGGGGAUAACCAUUGGAAACGAUGGCUAAUACCGCAUGAUGCCUACGGGCCAAAGAGGGGGACCUUCGGGCCUCUCGCGUCAGGAUAUGCCUAGGUGGGAUUAGCUAGUU